AAAGCUCCUUGCGGCUUCCGAGUGGACUCGACUGGGUUGGCAAGCUUUGAAGUUUCUUCUGGAUUGAACUGCACUUGUUGAUUCCUGUGUGGUGUCUGCUGAGUGGACUGGACUGCCGCUGCUUAUCUAAAACAUGAAUUUUUGUGUGUUUUCUUGUUUGUAGCUUGUCCGUGAUUGUGAAUUUUGUAGAUGACAACAUCUUGCCACAGCACAAAUGUGUGCAUGCUUUUGUUGUUUGUACUCACGUGUGGCUUCAGGCUCACAGUGGUGGGCAACUUCCUGUUACCUUGCAGGCACAAGGAGUCAAAGUGGCACCAUGGUCGUUAUGUGUGCUCAUGGUUUCUGGUCCAGAUAACUAGGCUGCUGCAGAAGACCCUCACUGUGAUGCUUCGAAAUUCUCACAAGCAUACAAGGUUAAAUCUAUGAAAUAGGUUGCAUGGGUCCAGGCACACACAACACUGGUCCUCAAGAAUGAUAAAGAGAGUUAACUGGAUUCAGUCCAGCUUGGUGGAAGGGAAGAACAUGGAUGGACUUUUCUAACGUGGCUUGAUGGUCCCAGUGUAUAUUAUUAUAUCCAUUGGAGUCUUUGAAGCACUGGGUCUCAGAGUAGAAGAGAUGAAGACAUUCAAAUCCAACUCAUCUCUCGACAUGUUCAAAAUCAUCUGGCAGAAGAGCAAGGAUAUCCAGUUUUCAUAGCAACGUUCUUUUAAAAAUAAACUUCUAAUUCUCCUCCAAA
rnacentral:lncRNA from 1 species